rnacentral:rRNA from 1 species
AUGGAAGGAGAUGAAAUUGUUCAAGAUCCAGGUGUUGGGCAAGUUGCUAGGAAAUAUAAAACCCUCAUUGACCAGCAAAAAUUUGCUGCUUAUGUAGCAAUGCAUACACUAUGUAUGAGUAGAGGAGGCACUUUUUUGGGAACUGAUAAGCAAGACUUUGCAAAAAAAAUUGGAGUGGGUGUUUGGAAUAUACAAAGAAUUUGGAGGAAAGCAAUGAAGCAAAUUAGCGAAGGUAAAGAGGUGGAUGUUUCUAAUAAAAAAAAGGAAAUUCUAGAAGAAAGCCUAAGGACAUUAAUCUAG